rnacentral:rRNA from 1 species
GAGUUUGAUCCUGGCUCAGGACGAACGCUGGCGGCGCGCCUAACACAUGCAAGUUAAGCGACUAACCAUCCGCUUGCGGAUGCUGAAAGCGGUGAACGGUUGAGAAUCACGCGAUUAACCAACCCUCGGGUUCUGUAUAGCCCGUGAAAACGCGCAUUAAUACCGAAUGGCCUAUUAGCUCUACGGAUCCGAAAGAAAAGGUAGCUUCGGCUUCCGGCUGAGGACGGGCUCGCGUCCGAUUAGCUAGUUGGUGAGGUAAUGGCUCACCAAGGCUCCGAUCGGUAGCUGGUCUGAGAGGACGAUCAGCCACACUGGGACUGAGACACGGCCCAGACUCCUACGGGAGGCAGCAGUGGGGAAUCUUGCGCAAUGGGCGAAAGCCUGACGCAGCGACGCCGCGUGCGGGAAGAAGGCCUUCGGGUUGUAAACCGCUUUCAGGAGGGACGAAGCCCCUCGGGUUAAUAGCCCAGAGGGUGACGGUACCUCCAGAAGAAGCCCCGGCUAACUACGUGCCAGCAACCGCGGUAAUACGUAGGGGGCAAGCGUUGUCCGGAUUCAUUGGGCGUAAAGCGCGUGUAGGCGGUUCAAUAGGUCCGAUGUGAAAACUCGAGGCUCAACUUCGAGAGGCCAUCGGAAACCCUUGGACUAGAGUCCGGAAGAGGAGAGUGGAAUUCCUGGUGUAGCGGUGAAAUGCGCAGAUAUCAGGAAGAACCCCGAUGGCGAAGGCAGCUCUCUGGGACGGUACUGACGCUAAGACGCGAAAGCGUGGGGAGCGAACAGGAUUAGAUACCCUGGUAGUC